rnacentral:rRNA from 1 species
CGUGCCUAACACAUGCAAGUCGAACGGAGACUUUAGGAACGAGAAUUUCGGGUUCAAGUUUUAAUGUCUUAGCGGCGGACGGGUGAGUAACGCGUGAGUAACCUGCCCUUAAGAGGGGGAUAACACACCGAAAGGUGUGCUAAUACCGCAUAAUAUGUAUUUGCCGCAUGACAGAUGUAUCAAAGAUUUAUCGCUGAUAGAUGGCCUCGCGUCUGAUUAGAUAGUUGGUGAGGUAACGGCUCACCAAGUCGACGAUCAGUAGCCGGACUGAGAGGUUGAACGGCCACAUUGGGACUGAGACACGGCCCAGACUCCUACGGGAGGCAGCAGUGGGGAAUAUUGCACAAUGGAGGAAACUCUGAUGCAGCGAUGCCGCGUGAGGGAAGAAGGUUUUCGGAUUGUAAACCUCUGUCUUCAGGGACGAUAAUGACGGUACCUGAGGAGGAAGCUCCGGCUAACUACGUG